ensembl:lncRNA
AAAAAUCACGAAAUGUUAAGUUACACAUGUCAUUUUGCCCAUAGUUGUCAAAAACAGCAAAAAUAUUGGGUCAGACAUUUUGUAGUUUUAUUUGAAAUUAAUUAUACCUUUCAGUUCUACAUAUUUCCCUAUCAACACCAUAAAAUAUACCAAUGUGUCUAGAAUUCCCAAUGUAAAACAUAAUUCAAUGCAUUGGUGUUUUACUACCAACAAAGAAAAGUCAUGUCAUUUUUAUCCCGGAGGGACAGGAAUAAACAGCUGGUCCAAAAAGGCAGUUUCAUAUUUAAAUGUAAAUGAAUAUCAUUUAUAUAUAUAAUAUAUAAUAUUAAUAUAUAUAAUAUUAUUUUUUUAUUUUUUUACUAACUCAUAAAAGGAUUAGGAGGAAUCAGACAUGUCGGCCAGUAUGUUUUUCCUUCAGUGUCAAUAACAGAGUGAAAAUCAUUUUUUUGACAGUUUGUUGACUGAAAAGUUGCAAACUCACUUAAAAGAUAUACUGAAUAUGCAGUGUGUACUGCCCACUGGUUUAAUUUUGAAUGCAGAAUACAUAAGAUUUUGCUUUGUGAUGUAUACAACUAAAUGUAUAUAUCUUAUGAAUUAGACAACAUAUUCCCUUUUGUCUUGGUUUUAUAUUUGUAUCCAGGCCUGCUCUUUAUUGUUUUUGCUUUAUAUUAUGAGGCUUAAUAUGUCUUAAUAGUUUCCUAUUAACCUUUUUGAUAGGAGGCACAGACUGAGCUCUGGGCAGCUAAUGAUUGACACUUGGUCAGUAAAACUGGAUAGCCGAGCAAGGAUGUCCCAUAAGUAAACAAUUUAAAUGGAACUCAAAGUGGAACCCUUCACUUACUACUGCCAUAAUCGAUCAGCAGCCUCAGUCACGUGUGCAGUACCAGCUCAUACAAGAGCCUCUGUUGUUACUGGCAGUCAGACCAGCAUCCAAGCAUCACCCAGAACAAUGAGAGAAAUUGAUUUCUGCAUCCACUGCUGUUCCUUUGCGUCUGGGCGAAGAUAACAUCCUCUGCAGUCUCUCUCUCCGGUCUCUCUCUCUCCGGUCUCUCUCAGGGUUGCCCUGAAAAGAUAAGAGCUUCCCCAGGAGGUGCAGGCAGGACGGGGCUGCUGCAUUGAUAUGCACAGCUCUGCUGCUCUGUUUUUUUAUGAAGCAUGAUCCAUAUAUCAGCCAGCAGAGCCAUCUGCGCCACAUCAGCUGACAUGAAAUUAUGAAUGAUAAAUAUGUUUAUGAUGGUGUCUGGAUUUAUAGUUGCAUGCCUGUCCUUGUUGUCAGCGAAGUUUUAGAUGUUUCAUUUAGGUACUAGAGAUGUUGAGGGUGUUUUCAGUGUUCUAAGAGUAUAAAUAAUCUAUUUUUUACCACAAAUCAGAUGAAGUUUGGACAAUAUGAAUAAUACAGAUAAAAAAACAAUGUAUUUACUUUGACCUGUUAACUGUUAACCAAAGUAUAAACUGUAUGAACCAAAAAUAUAUUUAAUCUAAUAUACCAUAUUCCAAAAAAGAGUUCAGGAGUGCAGGCAGGCAAGCCAGUCUAGUAUCUAUACCCUGAUCUUCUGCAGCCAUGCUUUUUAAUGUGUGCAGCAUGUGGUUGUGCAUUGUCUUAAAGGCAGCAUAUGUUGCUUUGUGGAUAACAGUCUGGAUGGUCCAGAAUUUAUGGUCCAUCACAAAAGACCCAGACCCUUACGUAAAGAAAAUAUAUGUCCCAAUAUAUUAACUGUCAAUAUAUGUAAUUAUUUAAUUUCACAAUUUACUGGUUAAUUGGAAGGAUUCGAUAAGGUCAAUAUUUUCCAUGGAUACAGUAUGUGCUACUGAUUAAUAUGUGACUGAAAAAAAUAUCAGAUAUUAGAUUAAAAAAAAUAGUAAAAAUAUAUAGACUAAUAUAUGGUGUUAUAUAGUAAUUCAUAUAUUACAAUAUAUUUAAAAAUACAUAAGGAAGUGCCGCUUUUCAUAUAUUGUAUAUAUGGAAAUAUAAUAAAUGAAAUAUAUUUACUCA